AGGCAGACCAUUCUUAGCUUCAGC
rnacentral:siRNA from 1 species